rnacentral:piRNA from 1 species
UUUGCAAAGAAAUUAGACACC